rnacentral:rRNA from 1 species
AUGGAAGAACCCAAAGUAAAAGCUCGGUGGGAUCGAGAGGCCACCAGAAUUUUCUGUGAGUGUGCCGCUACACAAGUACGGCUUGGAAAUAGGCCAACCAAGGCUUUAACUCCUGCUGGAUAUAAGGGUUUAAUUGCAGCCUUCAACGCACAGACCGGAAGAAACUAUGUACAGAAGCAAUUCAAGAAUCGUUGGGAUGAUAUGAAGGCUAUAUACUCUGCAUGGGUAUUUUACAAAAACAAAGCUACUGGGCUUGGAUGGGAUGAUGUGAAGCAAACUAUUACAGCAGACGAUGAUCAGUGGGCUUCAUUGAUUGCGCCAAUUAAAGCUUUUCGCCAUGGACCUCCAGAUAGCUUGAAUGAGCUAGCAAUCAUGUUUGAAAAGGCUAACGUUGAUGGACUCUCAUCUGUCAUGCCUGGAGUGGAUAAUGAAGAGGUGGAAGAAACUGAAACUGAGGAAGAUAUACAUAAGUUGUAUGAAGAAGAGAAUGAGACUCAAGAUCCCAGCCCUGUUCAACCAAGCCCAGCACAACCAAAGCGCAAGCGUCCAAAAAGUGCAAUUCCUUGUAGUCCAUCCAAGUUCAAGAAAAAUAAUGUGCCAAAGGACUUCAAGAGGUUUGUUGAUCAUGUCAUGCAGGAAGAUUGUGCGGGCCAAACUAGUAAGACCGCUGACAAUGAUGAUAUUCUUGCCAUCAUGGAAGAGGUUGCCAAGUGUGGAGCCUCCGAGACUAGUGAUGAGUACUAUAUGGCUACAAAGUUAUUUGCUAAACCAUCAAACCGCAACUUCUUUUAUGCAAUGAAGACAAAUGAAGGGAGACUCAAUUGGCUCAAGAGAUAG